UACGUAGGGGGCGAGCGUUGUCCGGAUUUAUUGGGCGUAAAGAGCUCGUAGGCGGUUCGGUAAGUCAGGUGUAAAAACUCCAGGCUCAACUUGGAGAGGCCACCUGAUACUGCCGUGACUAGAGUCCGGUAGAGGAGCACGGAAUUCCUGGUGUAGCGGUGAAAUGCGCAGAUAUCAGGAGGAACACCAGCGGCGAAAGCGGCUCUCUGGAACGGUACUGACGCUGAGACGCGAAAGCGUGGGGAGCGAACAGG
rnacentral:rRNA from 1 species